rnacentral:rRNA from 1 species
CCUACGGGAGGCAGCAGUGAGGAAUAUUGGUCAAUGGACGAGAGUCUGAACCAGCCAAGUAGCGUGAAGGAUGACUGCCCUAUGGGUUGUAAACUUCUUUUAUAUGGGAAUAAAAUGUUCCACGUGUGGGAUUUUGUAUGUACCAUAUGAAUAAGGAUCGGCUAACUCCGUGCCAGCAGCCGCGGUAAUACGGAGGAUCCGAGCGUUAUCCGGAUUGAUUGGGUUUAAAGGGAGCGUAGGUGGAUUGGUAAGUCAGUUGUGAAAGUUUGCGGCUCAACCGUGAAAUUGCAGUUGAAACUGGCAGUCUUGAGUACAGUAGAGGUGGGCGGAAUUCGUGGUGUAGCGGUGAAAUGCUUAGAUAUCACGAAGAACUCCGAUUGCGAAGGCAGCUCACUGGACUGCAACUGACACUGAGGCUCGAAAGUGUGGGUAUCAAACAGGAUUAGAUACCCGGGUAGUC